GGCAUCUCAUCUUGGCAUUCUUUCCCCAUGACUUUGAUCCCACCUUGGUUCCUGGUACUGCCACCAGACUGGAGUCAUUGAAAGCUCCUUUUAGAGGUUGUGACAUCCAAGGAUGGUUUCAUAAUGGCUGUGUUCUGGUGAGCUUUCCUAAUUUCAGACUGGGUCUUCAUGACAUGUGGUGGGACUGUAAAUCUGCAGAAGUCAGAAAACAGCCUCCCUUCAGGCUCAUGUGAAAUGCUUAAAGACGUCAGGCAAUUGCUGCAGAAAUGAGAGACAUCAGACCCUAACUGGCAAGAGGCAUCUGGAGCCACUGGCUUCCAUUGUCUUCCACAUUUUUGAUUUCUUCUUUGCUACUGUACAAAGAUUCUGUGAUUGGAUAGACAAUUCAGGUUAGUUCUACAAAUAUUUAUCAAAUAUAUGUGUAAGACUCUGUAUUAGGUGUGUGGGGGUUGGGGAAGUGGAGGGAAUAGCAUUAUGGGCAAAGAUAAAUAAGAAUCUGUUCUUGUCUACAAGGAUCCUAACAUUUUGAAGGGGAAAUGUUGACUUAUAAACAAGAAGGAAUAAAAAUAGUUUUAUAGUAGAAGCAUAAGCACAGUGCCCUGGCAACUUAGAGAAAAGGAAAUCUUCAGAAAAGCCAAUUUCUUUUGAGCUGUAAAAAUCCUUACAAACUGGAACUUAUUACUUUUAGCUUGAUAUAUACUUUCUGGGGCUGUAAUAUGAAUAGAUCCAGCUUCAUUUCACAUGUAUAUUUCAAAAUUGCCUCUGGUUUUGGAUAUUUGUGGCAAAGCAUUUUAUAGACUGUGCUGGUUCCAAAGGCAGGUAGUAUGUAGAUUAAUAGUUUUGAGAAAGCAAAGUAGGUUAGAAAAAGCAACUUUUUCAAGUAUCCUUUGUUUGGAUGACUUUAUAUUGUAUGCUGUCUCAGACAUCAAUACCUUCAACUGUGGCUCAGGAAGUUUUGCUCAUCAAUCCAUUUCACUUCUUAUUAAAUAUUGUAUUUUCUUAACAUGGAAUACAUGGAUGAGCUUUACGGAACC